rnacentral:rRNA from 1 species
CAGCAGCCACGGUAAUACGAAGGGUGCAAGCGUUACUCGGAAUUACUGGGCGUAAAGCGUGCGUAGGUGGUUGUUUAAGUCUGCUGUGAAAGCCCUGGGCUCAACCUGGGAAUUGCAGUGGAUACUGGGCGACUAGAGUAAGGUAGAGGAUAGUGGAAUUUCCGGUGUAGCAGUGAAAUGCGUAGAGAUCGGAAGGAACAUCUGUGGCGAAGGCGACUAUCUGGGCCAUUACUGACACUGAGGCACGAAAGCGUGGGGAGCAAACAGGAUUAGAGACCCCUGUAGUCCCUGUCUCUUAUAC